GCCGUUGUAGCUCAGUUGGUAGAGCACAUCCUUGGUAGGGAUGAGGUCUGCGGUCCGAUUCCGCACAACGGCU
rnacentral:tRNA from 1 species